GACGAACGCUGGCGGCGUGCUUAACACAUGCAAGUCGAACGGUGAACCUUGGAGCUUGCUCUGAGGGGAUCAGUGGCGAACGGGUGAGUAACACGUGAGUAACCUGCCCUGGACUCUGGAAUAAGCGCUGGAAACGGCGUCUAAUACCGGAUACGAGACGCAACCGCAUGGUUAGUGUCUGGAAAGUUUUUCGGUCUGGGAUGGACUCGCGGCCUAUCAGCUUGUUGGUGAGGUAAUGGCUCACCAAGGCGACGACGGGUAGCCGGCCUGAGGGGGCGACCGGCCACACUGGGACUGAGACACGGCCCAGACUCCUACGGGAGGCAGCAGUGGGGAAUAUUGCACAAUGGGCGAAAGCCUGAUGCAGCGACGCCGCGUGAGGGAUGACGGCCUUCGGGUUGUAAACCUCUUUCAGCAGGGAAGAAGCGAAAGUGACGGUACCUGCAGAAGAAGCACCGGCUAACUACGUGCCAGCCGCCGCGGUAAGAC
rnacentral:rRNA from 1 species